rnacentral:rRNA from 1 species
AGGAUUAACGCUGGCGGCGUGCCUGACACAUGCAAGUCGAACGAGGCCGCAAGGCCGAGUGGCGGACGGGUGAGUAACACGUGACCAACCAACCUCGAAGUUGGGAAUAGCUCUGCGAAAGUAGGGGUAAUACCGAAUGUGGCCCAGGGCGGGCAUCCGCCUUGGUCUAAAGAUUCAUCGCUUCGAGACGGGGUCGCGGCCUAUUAGCUUGUUGGUGAGGUAACGGCUCACCAAGGCGAUGAUGGGUAGCUGGUCUGAGAGGACGACCAGCCACACUGGGACUGAGACACGGCCCAGACUCCUACGGGAGGCAGCAGUGAGGAAUCUUCCGCAAUGGGCGAAAGCCUGACGGAGCAACGCCGCGUGUGGGGAUGAAGACUCUAGGGUUGUAAACCACUGUCGGAGGGGACGAUCGUGACGGUACCCUCCAAGAAAGCCCCGGCUAACUACGCGCCAGCAGCCGC